rnacentral:misc_RNA from 1 species
UGCCGAGGAGUGCAGUGCAC